rnacentral:tRNA from 1 species
GCCCAGGUGGUGGAAUUGGCAGACACGCCGUCUUGAGGGGGCGGUGCCCGAAAGGGCGUAUGCGUUCGAGUCGCAUCCUGGGCACCA